rnacentral:rRNA from 1 species
GAUGAACGCUGGCGGCGUGCCUAAUACAUGCAAGUCGAGCGAACGGACGAGAAGCUUGCUUCUCUGAUGUUAGCGGCGGACGGGUGAGUAACACGUGGAUAACCUACCUAUAAGACUGGGAUAACUUCGGGAAACCGUAGCUAAUACCGGAUAAUAUUUUGAACCGCAUGGUUCAAAAGUGAAAGACGGUCUUGCUGUCACUUAUAGAUGGAUCCGCGCUGCAUUAGCUAGUUGGUAAGGUAACGGCUUACCAAGGCAACGAUGCAUAGCCGACCUGAGAGAGUGAUAGGCCACACGGGAACUGAGACACGGUCCAGACUCCUACGGGAGGCAGCAGUAGGGAAUCUUCCGCAAUGGGCGAAAGCCUGACGGAGCAACGCCGCGUGAGUGAUGAAGGUCUUCGGAGCGUAAAACUCUGUUAUUAGGGAAGAACAUAUGUGUAAGUAACUGUGCACAUCUUGACGGUACCUAAUCAGAAAGCCACGGCUAACUACGUG